rnacentral:rRNA from 1 species
UAACAAGGAUUCCCCUAGUAACUGCGAGUGAAGCGGGAAGAGCUCAAAUUUAAAAUCUGGCGGUCCUGCCGUCCGAGUUGUAGUCUGGAGAAGUGUUAUCUGCAUCGACCGUGUACAAGUCUCCUGGAAUGGAGCGUCAUAGAGGGUGAGAAUCCCGUCCAUGACACGGAGCCCCGAUGCUUUUGUGAGGCACUCUCAAAGAGUCGAGUUGUUUGGGAAUGCAGCUCAAAAUGGGUGGUAAAUUCCAUCUAAAGCUAAAUAUUGGCGAGAGACCGAUAGCGAACAAGUACCGUGAGGGAAAGAUGAAAAGCACUUUGGAAAGAGAGUUAAACAGUACGUGAAAUUGUUGAAAGGGAAACGCUUGAAGUCAGUCGCGUCCCGUGGAACUCAGCCUGGCCUCGGCUUGGUGUACUUUCCAUGGGACGGGUCAACAUCAAUUUCGGCCGGUGGAAAAGGGCGAGGGGAAUGUAGCGUCGUUUCGGCGGCGUGUUAUAGCCUCUUGUCGCAUACGCUGGCUGGGAUUGAGGACUGCAGCACGCCCUUGUGGCCGGGGUUCGCCCACGUAACGUGCUUAGGAUGUUGGCAUAAUGGCUUUAAGCGACCCGUCUUGAAACACGGACCAAGGAGUCUAACAUGCUUGCGAGUGUUCGGGUGGAAAACCCUUGCGCGUAAUGAAAGUGAAAGUUGGGAGCCUCCGCAAGGGGGUGCACCGACGCCCGGCCCUGACGUUCUCUGACGGUGCUGCGGUAGAGCAAGUAUGUUGGGACCCGAAAGAUGGUGAACUAUGCCUGAAUAGGGCGAAGCCAGAGGAAACUCUGGUGGAGGCUCGUAGCGAUUCUGACGUGCAAAUCGAUCGUCAAAUUUGGG